CAGUCGCCGCGGUAAUACGAAGGGGGCUAGCGUUGUUCGGAAUUACUGGGCGUAAAGGGCGCGUAGGCGGCCAUUCAAGUUAGAUGUGAAAGCCCUGGGCUCAACCUAGGAAUUGCAUUUGAUACUGUUUGGCUUGAGUUCGGGAGAGGUGAGUGGAAUUCCCAGUGUAGAGGUGAAAUUCGUAGAUAUUGGGAAGAACACCAGUGGCGAAGGCGGCUCACUGGACCGACACUGACGCUGAGGCGCGAAAGCGUGGGGAGCAAACAGGAUUAGAUACCCGAGUAGUCCCUGUCUCUUAUAC
rnacentral:rRNA from 1 species